rnacentral:rRNA from 1 species
ACAGCCGCAGAAACCAGGCCGCUGCAACUGUUUAUUAAAAACAUAGCACUCUGCAAACACGAAAGUGGACGUAUAGGGUGUGAUGCCUGCCCGGUGCUGGAAGGUUAAUUGAUGGGGUUAGCGUAAGCGAAGCUCUUGAUCGAAGCCCCAGUAAACGGCGGCCGUAACUAUAACGGUCCUAAGGUAGCGAAAUUCCUUGUCGGGUAAGUUCCGACCUGCACGAAUGGCAUAAUGAUGGCGGCGCUGUCUCCAGCAGAGGCUCAGUGAAAUCGAAAUCGCUGUGAAGAUGCAGUGUACCCGCGGCUAGACGGAAAGACCCCGUGAACCUUUACUGCAGCUUGACACUGAACUUUGACCUUACUUGUGUAGGAUAGGUGGGAGGCUUUGAAGCUGGAACGCUAGUUCCAGUGGAGCCGUCCUUGAAAUACCACCCUGGUAAUGUUGAGGUUCUAACUCUGUCCCGUGAUCCGGGACGAGGACCGUGUCUGGUGGGUAGUUUGACUGGGGCGGUCUCCUCCUAAAGAGUAACGGAGGAGUACGAAGGUGCGCUCAGCGUGGUCGGAAAUCACGCGUAGAGUAUAAAGGCAAAAGCGCGCUUAACUGCGAGACCCACAAGUCGAGCAGGUACGAAAGUAGGUCUUAGUGAUCCGGUGGUUCUGUAUGGAAGGGCCAUCGCUCAACGGAUAAAAGGUACUCUGGGGAUAACAGGCUGAUACCGCCCAAGAGUUCAUAUCGACGGCGGUGUUUGGCACCUCGAUGUCGGCUCAUCUCAUCCUGGGGCUGAAGCAGGUCCCAAGGGUAUGGCUGUUCGCCAUUUAAAGAGGUACGCGAGCUGGGUUUAGAACGUCGUGAGACAGUUCGGUCCCUAUCUACCGUGGGCGCUGGAAAUUUGAGAGGAUCUGCUCCUAGUACGAGAGGACCAGAGUGGACGAACCUCUGGUGUACCGGUUGUGACGCCAGUCGCAUCGCCGGGUAGCUAUGUUCGGAAGGGAUAACCGCUGAAAGCAUCUAAGCGGGAAGCCUACCUCAAGAUAAGAUUUCCCUAGGACUUUAUGUCCUCUAAAGAGCCGUUCGAGACUAGGACGUUGAUAGGUUGGAUGUGGAAGCAUAGUGAUAUGU